AAAAGAUUUUGUGUGAAAAUGGCUCUGGAGCACAAAAGCAAGAGAAAACUUUCCAGAGCAACAAAGGACACAAUUCACUUUAUCACGGUAAAGAAGUACAGUUUAAAAAUGCUGCCCACCAGAUAAGAUUCUGGUUGCCCUCAAGUGGUGGUAUCCAGAUAGAAAACAGUGGUGUCCCUUUUUUCUAUAUUGGGAAAGUGAUCAAGCAAUGUCACUUGGGGAAAAAUAUAGACAGAGCCACAAAGGACAGAAGGUGUAAGGAGCGCCAUAAGCAAUGGGAUGGGAUACAGGAGGAUGCCUUUUCAAAUAAUCAAAAGCCACGAUGCAGAAAGCGAACAACCCAAAAAAUUGGCUGUAAUGCCAAAAUUUACUUGUAUCACAUUGUUAGGUUUCCUGACUACAAGGGGUUACAGGAAGAUGCCUUUUCAAAUAAUCAAAAGCCACGAUGCAGAAGGUGAACAGCCAAAAAAAUUGGCUGUAAUGCCAAAAUUUAUUUGU